UAAGGAAUAUUGGACAAUGGAGGCAACUCUGAUCCAGCCAUGCCGCGUGAAGGAAUAAGGCCCUAUGGGUUGUAAACUUCUUUUAGACGGGACAAAACCCCUUUACGUGUAAAGGGUUGAUGGUACUGUCAGAAUAAGCAUCGGCUAACUUCGUGCCAGCAGCCGCGGUAAUACGAAGGAUGCAAGCGUUAUCCGGAAUAAUUGGGUUUAAAGGGUGCGUAGGCGGACUAAUAAGUCAGUGGUGAAAGCCUGCAGCUUAACUGCAGAAUUGCCAUUGAUACUGUUAGUCUUGAGUACAGUUGAGGUAGGCGGAAUGUGUCAUGUAGCGGUGAAAUGCUUAGAUAUGACACAGAACACCGAUUGCGAAGGCAGCUUGCUAAGCUGUAACUGACGCUGAGGCACGAAAGCGUGGGGAGCAAACA
rnacentral:rRNA from 1 species